AUACUUAGGGUGCGAGCGUUAAUCGGAAUUACUGGGCGUAAAGCGAGUGUAGGCGGCUAUAUAAGUCGGAUGUGAAAGCCCCGGGCUCAACCUGGGAAUUGCAUUCGAAACUGUAUAGCUAGAGUUUGGUAGAGGUAAGUGGAAUUCAGGGUGUAGCGGUGAAAUGCGUAGAUAUCCUGAGGAACAUCAGUGGCGAAGGCGGCUUACUGGACCAAAACUGACGCUGAGGCUCGAAAGCGUGGGGAGCAAACAGGAUUAGAAACCCGAGUAGUCC
rnacentral:rRNA from 1 species